AUAAGCUUGUAUCCUCCAUAAACGAUUGAAGGAAAGAACAAAGCACUAGGAAACCAGCAAACCAAUCAAGUCGUUGCUGUCUCUACCAUUUUCGAUUGGAUUCUUCACUGUUUAUUGAUCUAAACACUAGUGAUAUAACUGGAGGUUUGGAGACAUGUCAACAAUUUAGGUGGUUGUUUGGGCAGAUGCUAUCAACUUAUGACCAGUUGCAAGAAAAAGAUGACGCUUGAUGCUUUAAACUAUUAGAUUGGCUACUAAGUAUUGAUGGAUGGGAAUUCAACUGAGCUAAUUAGUUUUUGAUUUGUUAGAAUUAAUGUUUAGGUGGUGCUAUUUUUGGUCUGGUUUCCUGUUGUGUAUGUUAAUUGUUAUGUUGCCUUCUGGCCAAUUGGUACUUUUCCUCCAAUGAAAUUUUUAUUUGGGUGA